rnacentral:rRNA from 1 species
UACGUAGGGUGCGAGCGUUAAUCGGAAUUACUGGGCGUAAAGCGUGCGCAGGCGGCUUUGCAAGACAGAUGUGAAAUCCCCGGGCUCAACCUGGGAACUGCAUUUGUGACUGCAAGGCUAGAGUACGGCAGAGGGGGAUGGAAUUCCGCGUGUAGCAGUGAAAUGCGUAGAUAUGCGGAGGAACACCAAUGGCGAAGGCAAACCCCUGGGGCUGUACUGACGC